rnacentral:rRNA from 1 species
CAGUAGCCGCGGGAAUACGGAGGGGGCUAGCGUUGUUCGGAAUUACUGGGCGUAAAGCGCACGUAGGCGGCUUGGUAAGUUAGAGGUGAAAGCCUGGAGCUCAACUCCAGAAUUGCCUUUAAGACUGCCGAGCUAGCAGGUGAGAGAGGUAAGUGGAAUUCCGAAUGUAGAGGUGAAAUUCGUAGAUAUUCGGAAGAACACCAGUGGCGAAGGCGGCUUACUGGCUCAUACUGGACGCUGAGGUGCGAAAGCGUGGGGAGCAAACAGGAUAAGAGACCCGAGUAGUCCCUGUCUCUUAUAC